CACUUAAGGCCCAAGGGCCCUUCAGUUAGCUUGUGGUGAAUGUUGCCAGGUCUGAGACUCAUACUUCAGGGUGCUGGGCUCCCCUCUGGCCCAGGGUGGGUCCAGAAAUACCGUCCAAGAGCCAAGGCCUGGAAUCAGGGACCCCAAGAGCCCUUCUGAUGCUCUACUCCCCUGUGGCCAAGCUGAUUGCAUUUCUUUGGAAUGACCACAGCAGUAUUUCCAGCCCUUGAUGAUCUUCUAGAACUUUGCCACUUCACUGCAUCAGGAGGAAAGUGCUUUGAAUCAGUGGAUUUAUAAUAUUUUUGACAUCUAAUAAUGGAUGGAAAAAAAUGGAUGUUGGCAUCAUUUCUACCACAGCAACAAGAGCAAAGAUGAACUCCAGAAAGUCAAAACAUCAAGGAAUAUUUGCCAUUUCUUUAGGAAUCUCAUGAUUUUCCCUUUUUGGAACUUCUGUCAACAUGCUUCUGGAUGGUUCUUCUGCUACAUGUUGUGUCGGCUGGGGUUCCUCAGAGUCACGGAGAAGAGGAGACAGCGUGUGCAAGGGAAUGAAGAAAAGGACCAAGACUAUUUUCAAAUCACCCAUGGCACUACUAGAAAAGUAUUUCAGCAAAAAGACUGGCUGAUUUUAUGAUUCCUGUGUCCACCACAUCCCUCUAAUUUUUACAUACGUACCCCACAUCUCUCCAGAUUUCAGGAAGACUAUUAUUCUUUGACUUUAGCUUUCUGAUGAGUUCACAAAAAGCUGUUAGUGUGCUGUUGGUCCAGCUUUUUUCUUGUUGGAAAUAUGAGAGCUACAGUUCUGAGAUGAAACCACAGAAUGAAGCACUGCAUUAGCGAGUCCUGAAGAUCCUUUCCAGCUCUUUGAUUAUUUGACAUUCUGACUGGCACAAAGAGGCACACCUGCAAUCCUACUGAGCGUUCCAUGGAUCAUUAAUGAUUUUUCAUAGUGAAGGAAACAGAGGUCCACCAGAAGAAAUUUGCCUUCAACUGGCAAGGCCAGCAAUAUGCCUUCACUGUCCUACCUCAGAGGUAUAUCAACUCUCUGGCUUUGUGUCAUAAUUUUGUUCGGAGACAUCUUGAUUGCUUUUCCCUUCCACAAGAUAUCACACUGGUCCAUUACAUUGAUGACAUUAUGCUGGUUGGAUCCAGUGAGCAAGAAGUAGCAAACACACUGGUUUUGUGACUCAUACUGGCUUGCUUGCUCCUCAGCUUGCAGACGACCUAUUGUGGAACUUCACCAUGUGAUCAUGAUUUUUCUCCUUGUACACAACUUUAAGAUUGACUUGCUCAUUCAUUGCGGUGAGUAGUAAGACACAAACCUUCAAUCUCCA